GACGAACGCUGGCGGCGUGCUUAACACAUGCAAGUCGAACGGAAAGGCCUCGUUCUUGUGGUGCGCUCGUGUGGAGAGCGUGUGUAAAACAUGAGUGUACUCCCCUUUUCUUUUUGGGAAAUUCUCAGGACACUGGGGCAUAUCCCGGAUAGGCUCCUCCGGCGUAGGGUGGGGGUUGAAAUUUCGCCGGUGGGGGGGGGACUCGCGGCUUAUCUGCUUGUGGGUGGGGGGUUGGCUUACCAAGGCUUUUUCGGGGAGCCGGCCUGAGAGGGGGACCGGCCACAUUGGGACUGGGAUACGGCCCAGACUCCUACGGGAGGCAGCAGUGGGGAAUAUUGCACAAUGGGGGGAGGCCGAAUGCAGCAACGCCGCGUGCGGGAUGACGGCCUUCGGGUGGUAAACCGCUUUCGCCUGUGACGAGGCGUGUGUGACGGUAAUGGGUAAAGAAGCACCGGCUAACUACGUG
rnacentral:rRNA from 1 species